rnacentral:rRNA from 1 species
AUUGAACGCUGGCGGCAUGCUUUACACAUGCAAGUCGAACGGUAACAGGCCUUCGGGUGCUGACGAGUGGCGAACGGGUGAGUAAUGCAUCGGAACGUGCCUAGAGGUGGGGGAUAACGCAGCGAAGGCUGUGCUAAUACCGCAUGUGAUCUGAGGAUGGAAGCGGGGGACCAAGCAGCAAUGUUUGGCCUCGCGCCUCUGGAGCGGCCGAUGUCAGAUUAGGUAGUUGGUGGGGUAAAGGCCUACCAAGCCGACGAUCUGUAGCUGGUCUGAGAGGACGACCAGCCACACUGGGACUGAGACACGGCCCAGACUCCUACGGGAGGCAGCAGUGGGGAAUUUUGGACAAUGGGCGCAAGCCUGAUCCAGCAAUGCCGCGUGCGGGAAGAAGGCCUUCGGGUUGUAAACCGCUUUUGUACGGAACGAAAAGGCUCUGGCUAAUACCUGGGGCUGAUGACGGUACCGUAAGAAUAAGCACCGGCUAACUACGUG